rnacentral:rRNA from 1 species
AUUGAACGCUGGCGGCGUGCUUAACACAUGCAAGUCGAGCGGUAACAGGCGUAGCAAUACGUGCUGACGAGCGGCGAACGGGUGCGUAAUACAUGGGAAUCUGCCUAGUAGUGGGGAAUAACCCGGCGAAAGCCGGGCUAAUGCCGCAUACGAUCCACGGAUGAAAGCGGGGGACCUUCGGGCCUCGCGCUAUUGGAUGAGCCCAUGUCGGAUUAGCUAGUUGGGAGGUAACGGCUCACCAAGGCGACGAUCCGUAGCUGGUCUGAGAGGACGGCCA